GAGGGGAAAGCAGGCGGGAGGACAGCGAAGGCCGAGCCCUUCGUUCAGCUGGGGAAGAGUCCGGCAGCUUCUUUCAGAACAGCGAGACGAUUGUUACCAAUACCGCCUCACACAGUAAGAGCCGACAGCCAAGCCCCGUUGUGAGCACUCUUAUGUACAACUUUUAAGUCUUCGCUACGGUCCAGAGCUGGGGAUUCUUCUCCCCGUUUCGGAGGGGCUGAUGUUGGAGGAGGCGGCUCAGGGAGGGGAGUAACUUGCCCAGAGCUACACAGCUGUUUGAGGUGGGGCCGUGGAUGGAGACUGGCUGUUCUGGAUCCAGCGUCUACUGCCUCUCAUGGUGGGCUCGUGGAUAGGGCCCAGGCCCAGCCCAAGACUGAAAGAGGAGAGUGGAGAUUUCCUAGUGCCUUGUUGACACACACUGGGUGCUCAGUAAAUCAUCGCUGAAGGAAGGGCUGGAGUGUCCUGCGAGCUUCUAAAAAGUACUUAGCAACGGCAGCUGGAGGUGGACCGAUCUGUGACCCCUGCUCACCUGCAUUCCUGUGGCCCAUGAGAGGUUUGAGCUCAACUGUUAGCACCAGAGAGAAACCUAAACCGACCACCUUCAGCGUCUCUUUGACCUCGUCCUGUUUCAUAUCUCCAGAGCUCCCGUCGUGAUCUCAGGUGCAGCAUCUGGCCCCAGGAGGCAGCAUGCUGGAGCAGAAAAUGUUAAGCAUGUGGAGCCAGACAGAUCUGGGUUUGGAUUCUCGUUUUACUAGUUCCCAGGGAUUCUUGCAUGAUGCACUACCUGUCUGGGCACCUAUGUUUUCACUCCCUGCCUCCCAGCCCUUGUUGGCAAUACCUGGGACUGAAGAACUUGGCUCCAGGAUGUCCAUGAGGGUGUAUUCUACUGGAAUAUCAGACUCUGAACAGAGCCUGGAGCCUGCCUUUUGAAUGAGCACCUGGGUUGAUCACUGUGCUGACACUGGAGAACUUCCUCUGUAAGGAACACCAGCAAGCCGAAUGUACCCAGUUGCUCCAGUGUGUGGAAUAGAAAAACAUGCUUCUGAAAUGUCUGGAGGGGACAUUGGUGAGAGCUGGAGGUAGAAAUCCCAUGGAUGGCGUAAGGCUCGUGUGAGGUCCUCGGGUUUGGGGAAUGGGGAAUGCAUCCUGGGCAGGGAGGGCAGAGUAAGCAGAGUGACGGGAGGUGGGAGGAAAACUCUGCCUCCCUCCAUCCCUCUUUCUUCUCUCUGUGCAUGUGUUUCCUCAUCUGUCCUCCAUCACGCCCCUGUGGAGCAGGUAUGAUUACCCCUAUUUUCAGAUGGGGAAACUGAAGCCCAUAAAAGUAAUUAGCCAAGGACACUCAGCCAGUAGGUGGCAUGGACACUUGCCUGGAGUGGGAAGGGUUUUCACAGGUAGCUGGCCUACCAGAGAGAGGGCCAAGGGUUCUGCUACAGGUGAAGAUGAGUUUGUGUUAGAAGGCGAAUUUCAGCCAUCUUGUCUGCUGUUGGCGAAAGGUGGGAUUCCACGUCUCCGUGUGGCAGUGCUUGAACAAGGGCCGGGAGUGGGACGUGGACCGGCUGUAACCCACCUGCCUGUGUUGCCGGUGCCAGAUGGCUGGUCCCGCCUCUCGCCAGUGGCCUCCAGCUGCUGUUCUUCUGGCCUCUGUCACCAGCAUGGAUGUGAGGCUCUGGCCAGGACUGGGGUUGCCUGGGCUCUGAGGCCUGGUAAGUGUGGGAAUGUUGUCUUGGCCGUUUUUCCCUUUCCAGGUUCAAGGAGGUUACUUUGAGGCUGGGCUUAGCAGGAUGGCAUAGCUUUCUCUUGCUUCUCACCCCAGAGUCAUCUCCGAGUUUCCUGGGGAGACAGAGCCUCCCCUGCCAUUCUCUCUGUAGGACCUGGGCUUUCUGUCCUUGCCAAGGAGGCCCCUCUAAGGAACCGGCAUCCCCUCUUUAUUCAGGCCUAACUGGUUCACCUCCCCUGGGUCUGUGGUGCUCUGGGCAAUUUGGGAGCUGCUCAGGCUCCAUCCAGGGCCCCACUCAGGCUUCAGGGACUGUUCCCUUGGCUGUGAACCCUUGGUCCUGUCCAGGCAGAGCCGAAUUCAUGGGCGUGUGACUCAUGCAGUUGCAUAAAGUCCGUGCUUAGAAAGGCCUCAUGCUGGGUUUCAUGCUCUGAGGCUCCAGUCUUGAAAUUCUUAGUAGUUUUGUCCUUGCACCUGUGCUUUGAAAGUGGAUCUAAUGGGGCCACGAAGCAUGCAUGGAGUGCGUGUCCACAGUGCUUUAUGUUCACAGGUAGUGUUCUUGGUGCCCGUGAUCUCUGAAGUCUGAUGGAUGUGACAUGUGGGGGGCCGGCAUGCCUCAGAGGGUAGAAGGUAGGCAUGUUGUGUCUAAACCUAAGUAAAUGGAGGUGCCGAUGGCCCCCAGAAGCCAUGCUUCCUGUCGAGCUAGAACUUACAUUGAAUGCAGAAAGAAGGCAGUGGCGUUCUAGAAGCAUGAACCACGGAGGAAUCCUACUCUGUCAUAUCCAUUCUUGUGUCACUUCCUGGUGUUCAUUAGCCACUCAUGCCGGGAGCAAUGGCAUACAACAAAAGGCGAAGAUAGGUUGUCCCCGAGUUCCUUCCUUUAUGUCCCUCGUCGUCAUCAGUGAGCCAGAGUGACCCUCUGAGGAGAUACUGUUCUAGAAGAGGAAACGGAGGUCCAGAGAGGUCACAGCACUGCACUUUUGUGCCUAUCACAGAAGCCCUUGAAGCCUCAUGAUGAAUUGGAAACGAGGUACCGGACGGAGAGGUGCUCAUGGCUGUGAAUGGCAUGGUGCAGUGGACGGAGCACAGACCUGGACGAGGAAUUCUAUCCUAGUGGCGAUCUUCUCCACUCCUGUAGAUUCUGCUAGGCACCUUCAUUCUAUCUCCUGGGUUCUAUCUGUCUCCACUCCAGACCCAUUUGAUCGCACACCUUUUGGACAACACUGCAGGUCACAAAGUAAACUCAUUUUCUUUUCCUGUUGUCAGUGUGUCUCUUGCAUCCAAAAUCUGUUAAUGGUGACCCUGGAAACCUGGCCUCCCAAGCUGGACCCCUCAGAGGCACUUCCGUGCUCUUUUCCCAUUGCCCACAACGUAAAUCAACAGGCAGAUCUCUGUGUGUUGUGUUUUAGAUGUGUCCCUUGAUCCAGUGCCUCACCUCCGUCCUCCUUGUACUUUGCCCUAAUCACAUCUUGCCUGGGUCACCUGGAAUAUCCAAGUGGUCUCUUAAUCUCUAGUUUCUGUUCUCUCCUGUCCCCAGCUUGGGCUGCAGCUAAAACACAGUCAUCAUCAUUUCAUUCCCAUGUGUAAAACCCUUCCAGAGCCAUGGCGUGGCAUUCAAAGGCUUCCUGGUUACACCCAGAGCAUUCACAACGCACCCCCCUCCCCCCGUGAACCUCCCCCUUCCGUGAACCUUCCUCAGUCCCCUGUCUUCCUCUGCUGGCCUGGCCCACCUCCGAGCUUCAGCUCCACGGUGCUGGCUGGGAUGCUCCACAACCACUCCCUGGCACAUCCUUGUGCCAGACAGCCUCCCCUCUAUCGUCAGUAGUUAGUUCAGAAUUCCCUCUUCUGUGCAGCUGUUCUUGGCGCUCGCAGGAGGACAGAAUUGUUCUUUUGGGUUCUCCUGCAUGCUGACCAUUGGGAGGUGGGAGUUAUACCCCAGAAGAGAUGGUCAGAAUCUGAAGGACCUUGAUCAUAGGAGGAACAGUCAGAAAAUAACAGAAUGAUAUAGACCAAAUGAGGCUCGAACUAGGGACUGGGGGGAAAACAAAGACCAGAGGGAUGAUGGUGACAGCCAUCACAGAACCCACACUGUUCAUGAGCCAAAGGCACUGUGUGAUUCGUCUGAUCUGUCUUCCCUUCAACCCAAAGCAUCUGUUUUUCAGAUUACGAAGGCAAAGUUCAAAGUCUUUGGGCAACGCGUCCCAAAUAAUACAGUUGGUGUCAGAGGCAGCUUUGUGUGAGUCCAAAACCUCGUGCUUUCCAGCGAAGGAGCUAUGCUCGCAGGGUGCCCCCGACUCUGCUCAGGAGGCAGCAGCUUCUGAGUCACAAGCACGUUAUGCGUCCACAUAACCCUGAAAACCCUGCUCGUCAGACCGAGUGGUCAUUUGCUACUGGCAUGUGUUCUCCGUGGUUGCUGUCCUUCAAAAGAAGCCCCUUCGGUGCUAGCCCUCUAAAGUGCCCUGAGCCCAGAGGGUGUGAAAGCCGGCUCUGUGGGGCGAGGGUGGCGGCUUCCUCCUCGGCUUGGUCCAGUACCCAGAUGGGAAUAGGGAGCAGCAUAACGGGGUCCAGAAGCAAGACCAUCUCCUGGUCCUUCUGAGUCCCUCCUGACAAAUGGUGUGGUUGCCAGAGCUCUGGGCCAAUCCGUUUUCUGGUGCAAGACUGAAAAAACCAGGCCAGAUCGAGAAGGACAGGAGGACAGAGAGUAGAAAACCGUCAGGAGUCCUGGAUUCCAGCUCUCACCCUCACCAGCUCUGUGGUUUGAGCAAAUAUCUUAAUGCCUCUGGGCCUCAGAGUCAAGUGCGGGUCAGAACGCUUAUCCAACACACCAGGCUUCAAUGAGAAGGCCUAUUUGCCAUCUGCAAAUACCAUGUCUGGUUCUCCGGCAGCCCGUGAGCUCCUGAGGGCACAGGACUGUCUUCUUCACCUGCGUCUUUCAGUUAGGAGACCACGUGCUAAGGGUGGCAUACCUCUGAAUAAGUACAGAGUUUGCUCUUCUGGGAUUCUGACAAUAGUACUCUCCUAUAUUUGGUAGUUAAUGAAUUCCUUCAUGAUUCUAUUCACUUUUUUCAAUAACUAUGUUUUUUUAAUGUUUAAGUUUUUUUUUUUAAUAUUUGUUUAUUUUUGAGAGAGAGAGUGUGUGUGAGCUGGGGAGGCGCAGGGAGGCAGGAGCGAGGAACGGAAGUAGGCUCUGCACUGACAGCAUGGAGCCUGAUGUGGGGCUCGAACUCAUGAACCAUGAGAUCAUGACCUGAGCUGAAGUCAGAUGCUUCACCAGCUGAGCCUCCCAGGCGCCCCUCAGCAACUCUUUGUCGAUCGCUUACCGUGUACCAGGCCGGUGGUGAUGGAAACAACGAAGAGCGGCCUCCAUCACUGUGAGAUUGGAGUGCUGCUGGGGGACACCGUCAUCGCGGGGACAUACACACGCGCAAGUGCAGGAGAGUUCGGAGAAGGAAAGUACCUGGGGAAAAUGGGUGCAACGGAUGCAGAGAUGGUUGGUGGGAAUGCAGACUGGUCAGCAGCUCUGGAAAACAGUAUGGAGUUUCCUCAAAAAACUAAAAAUAGAACUACCCUACGACCCAGCAGUUGCACCACUAGGUCACGUGCACCUACCGUUCAAGGCAAUGCCCAUCCCGAAUCCAGCCUUUUCAGCUUGUCUACAGCAAAUACACCACCAGUGUAAUGUGGUGAUUAAGAACAUGGACUUUCAAUCCAGAACGUGUUCAAAUCCUACCUCUGCCUCUUACCGGCUGUGUGGUCUUGGGCAAGUUACUUUACUUCUCUGUGCCUCUGUAUUCUUAGCCAUACAUUGGGAAUGAUUAUAUUCCAUACCUCACAGGGUUAUUGUGAAGGUUAAAGGAAAUGAUACAUGUAAAGUUCUUAGAAUCUCACCUAGUGUAGCGAGUACUCAAUUGAUACUACCCAUUCCAGGAAUCUCCAUCCCAGCUGAAUUUCUCUGUUAAUGGCUUUGAGUGUGCUUGUGACUUUCCUGCCUUUGAUUUCAGAUGCUCUUUUCACCUGCCUGGAAUGAUGUCUCCUCCGUUUUGCUUGUAUCCAGAUUCUCCUUGCCGUCUCUAGCUGAGCACGCUCAGGAAAUGGCCAGGCCCAGGCCUCACACCCACCCACGACUCAGCUACUGUGCGGGGCCGCCUGGCCUCUCUGGCUUCCAGCUUUCCCUCUUGAAGUGGAAAUGUUUAUGCAGACCUUGUGGAGCUGUCAAAGGUGAAAUCCUCAAACUCUGGCAGGUAGUAGGUACUUAAGAAAUGAGAGAUGUUAUCAAGACAGAUCUUACUAAUCCUGCCUGCCUGGGUGUCCUCUCUGAACUCUUCUGGUAACUAUAAAUUCCACCAUUUAUCUGGUCACUCAUUGACCGUGUGGUGCUUUGUAACACCUUUUAAAUGUUUUUCUUCUUCUGCUUGGAACUAUUAUCGGAAUCUUUGGAAUCUUACUGAUGCUCAGGUUUCAAAUACACACUACACCUAGUACCCUGUUCACUGCACUGGGUGUCCCUUGAGGGAAGACGCUGUGCAAACACUUCUUGUCUCCCUUUUUUUUUUUUUUUUUUUGAGAGAGAGAGAAUGUGUGAGCAGGGGAGAGAGGCAGAGGGAGACAGAGAGAGGAGAGAGAAUCUUAAGCUGAGUGUGGAGCCCGAUGUGGGGCUUGAUCCCAUGAGUUUUGGUUCAUGACCUGAGCCGAAAUCAAGAGUCGGAUGCUCAACCAGUGGAGCCACCCAGGCGCCCCUGCACGAAUGUUUCUAAUUUGACUGCAGUUCGUUGAGACAUCUUUCUGUGAUGGCAGCCUUACGCUGGGCUUACAUUUUCCAGUGCUUCCUUGUCUUUUCGCUUUGGUACAGCAGCUGGUUGUGGCCCAGGGCUUUGGGGCCACGGCUCUCUUGUUAAUGUUUAUUUUUUUGCAUUUACUUUUGUGUGGUAGGCUCUUUGUCCCUGGCUUGGACUUUUCCUGGCGGUCCCAUUGGCCGGCCGGCCCCUGGGUCCAGACAGAUAAGGGCUCAUUUUCAAAACCGGCUCGGUAAUUGUUGGGUGCCUUUUCCCCUUCGCUUUCUAACCCAUGAAAACACCAGCCUUGUGAUUGUGUUUCAAGAAACAUGUCGAUGGGCCUGUGCUCUGGACGUUUCCUCACCUGAGAUAAGGUCUGGGUGUCAGCUCUAAGGAAGAAGGUACACUGGAGAGGAAGAUUUCCUAGGCAGUGACACCACCUCGGGCAGCAGUAGCCUGAGACUGGACUGCCCAGGUGCAGGUGGAGACCAAGCCCACCCCCAGAGGAGGGGCAGCCGGGACCACCUGGGCGUCCCCUCCCACCCCAGGCAUGGACUUGAGAGGCGCAGGGGCUGUCCUUCCUGGGGAGGAGCCCCGGGGCCAGCAAUGGCAGCACUCCAAGGCCUCACAGUGGGGUUGGGUGGUUGUGGCCGUGGCCGCUGGAGCAGACAGUCCCUGGAUAAAGUCCAGAGUCUGAACAUUCUGGUCCUGGCUCUCAGUCCCUCACUGAGGGAUCCUGCACAUUGGAGCUCAGUUUUCUGCCUGCAAAGGAAGUGUGCCAUAUCAGUAGUUCAAACACUUGUUUUUUAAAAACACAUCAGAGUGCUUUAAAUUUUUUUCUAAAGCAGAAUCAUAUGCAUAUUCCAGGUUUACAGAGCAGAUAAAAAGAGCAGGUCCGUGUGAAGGAGGUAGGACUCCCAGGAUCCUGCCAUUCCCCGCGCCCACAUGCAUCCUGCAAGGCUCAUUCAUGCAAACUUGGCUUCCCCAAGCACAGUUUGAACCUGCUGGACUAGUUAGUCUCAGUUGUCUGUGUGAGGUCUUCCAGGCCACUUCUGGGGACUCUCCCCUUCCCUUGGAGAUGAAGAAGCAGGGUCUGUGGACAGGGUGACGGCAGAAUAGUCCCCGUUAUGACCUAAUCACAAACCGAUCAGAAAGGAUGCUGGUCAGAGUACUGGUUGGAUAUAGUGACUUUGUGUGUUCGAAAUACAUAAGCUAUUAUAUGAAUUUUAUUGUAUUAUAUUAGUAGUAGUAUAUUAUGUAAUGUAUUUCAAAAUACAUUGUUUCUGUCCCUUUCAGAUUCAUCUGAAUAAAAACUGGGUGCUAUUAUUUUGAACAGUGUCCACAGGAAAUAGUAAUUAACAAAUAAACAUCCCUAAAUCAAAACACGGAAACCUUUAUUCUGGAUCUUUGGUAGGGUGACAGUGUCCAGGUGGGAGGGACAGAAUGGGCAGGGACUUGAGUUGACUCUGGGCAUGGUCAGGGCAAGAAUAACACCAAUCACACAAUGAAGGGCUUGCUCCAAGAUAGGAUGGUUUCCAUGCCCAGCAGCCCACGAAAUAGGUAUGUUUCCUAGGGCUACCUUCACAAGUUAUCACAAAUUUAGUGGCUUCAAGAAAACUCCAGAAAUUUAUUUUGUCACCAUUCUUGAGGGCAGAAUCUGAAAAAUAAGGUGCCAGCAGGACCAUACUCUCGCCGAAGGCUCUGGAGGGAGAAUCAUUGUUUCUUAUAGAUUCUGGUGGCUCUGGAUAUUUCUUGGCCUGUGACUAUAUAAUCCCAUCUUGGUCUUUGUCCUCAUACAGACUUCUUCUCUUUUCCCUGUGUCUUCCUUCCUGGUAUCUCUCAUAAGAUACUUGUUACUGGAUUUAAGGUCCACCUGCGUAAUCUAGGGUGAUCUCAAGAUCCUUAACUUUGUAACAUCUGCAAAAACUCUUUUUCAAUUAAAGUCACAUCGAUAGGUUCUGGGGGUUAUAAUGUGGACAUAUUUUGGGGGGGCAUUAUUAACCUUGCUGUUAGAUAUGAGGAAACUGGGGUUCAAUCCAGGGAGGUAAUUUGCCCAUAGCCACUCAACUGGUGGGUGGCAGGCCCAGGCUAGGACUCACCCUGAGGGCUGCAUUGUGUUCUAUGUGCUACAGAACAUUGUGGGAUGUCAGGGAAGGGACCAGGCAGAUGUAGGACCGUCCCUAACAAUCCAGCUUGGAAGGCCUUGCUUCAGGUACAGAGGGUGUUCAAUGUCAGUCUGUUAUUGAGAUGGUUAUUGAUUUUGAGGCUUUGACCUGAGCUUCUCCGGGGUGGCAAACUGAUGUGUCUGCCUCUGUAUCCCUAGCACAGUGCCGAAAAUGUUGGAUACAUGAAAUUGAAUGCCUGUGAUGAGAGACUGUGCUCAUAUGUCUGUGUGCCUUUAUAGUGUCUACCACGUGUGGUUAGUGGUGGUGCUUAGACACUAUGGAAAAGGCUGUGUGGGACCAGAGCUCGCUCCAACAGGCCCAAUUCUUGCCUUACCCACAAUCUGCUCAAGGGACUUCAGAUCGGUCACUCUGCCUUGCUUUCCAAAUAUGUCAGGUGAGGUUAGUAAUACUCUUCCUACAGAUCUCACUGGAUGUUUCUGUGUUUUUGUUGACUGGGGAGUCAGUGCGGGGGGCUUCUGUCUGAAGGCAGGAGGAAGUAAAAGAUAAAAUUUCCAAGCCCCUUCCAGCCCUAGGGUUUUAGGAAAAAAUUUAAUCAUGUUUUACACCACCAGAUGUAAGCACAUAUUGUAACUGCGGGGGCAACAUGAAAUUGAGGACAAUCAUGCUCUUUCACUUAGAUGAGAGCAAGACGCACUCUGCUUAAACUGUGAUUAGAAGGAUGGAGGUCAGACAGAAAUCCCUUUGUGAUGUCAGGGGAUCUGUUUCAUGGGAACGGGGCCUGAGGCCGACUUCUCAGGGGGGCCAUUUGGGAGCUGGGAGGACUGUGGUGUGCAGAGGCAGGAGUUAAGGGUGACGAAACAUUUUGACAUAAGGAGAACUUUCCAGAAGUUAAGGCUGAGAAACCUUGCGUUGGGUGGUUGGGAAUUGAGACGGUCCCAGAAUCAGCAAAACUAAGGCCAGAUCCUUAAUGCUCUUCCAUUGAUUUGGAGGUCUUUCUGGUAGGGGGAUGGGAGGCCUCCUAGAGAUCCAGCUUGUUUAGAGCUUGGACUUUGGAGUCAGACAGACUGGGUUAAUUGCCUCCAUUGUCAUGUACCAGUUGUUGAUCUUGUAUGAGUUCCUUAACCUUCCCAGAUUCCUUGUGGUAUGGGUACGCCCCCCUCCAGAGCUUAAGUGUGAGCAUUAGAUGAGUCAGGGCAGGCGACACACCUAGCACUGUGCUUGGCACACAAUAAGUGUCAAGAGGCUCUGACAUAGACAUGUGAAACCCUGUCCUCCUUGGACAAGCUCCAGGUUGGGGCAGGAGAGCCCCUGUGCUGUUGGAUAACAAAUGCUUUCUGUGUUUCAAAAUGAAGACAGAUUGAAACUUGAUAUUUUUUUGAUCAAAAACCUUAAGUCAAGGCAAAGCUUGGUGGAGCACCGAAAGUCCUGUUUUCUGUGACUGGGGGUCUCCGGCAGGAUGUUGGAAUGUCUCUGCUCCCCCUGACGUCCUUCUGCUGCUUUGGUGACUGCCCACAGACAGACCAGCUCCCAGUCAUCUGAAACACCACUCAGAAGGCAGGAAUUUGCAAUCCGUUCCAAGCUGGAAGUGACUUUCAUGUGAUGGGGCCGCACUGCUCUGUGACUCUGUAACCAAUUCUCCCCACGCUGGCCGCUCUCCAGAUGCCUGGGAUGUGAUCAGUUGACCAAACAAAACGGCAGGUCCGUCCAGGAGAACGCUGUGUCUGGCUUCGGGAGCAAAAGCUCCCAGCACGUGCAAAACUCAGGCCCCAAGUUUCUUCAUGUUUUUCCCUGUUCUUUUCAGGCAGCUCUUUUUAGGUAAGAAAUCUACAACCUUCAACUUUGAAAGUCAAGUUAAGUUUAGGUAAAACAAAUCAGUGCUGGAAGUCAGUGAUUGAAGAGAUCACCGUAAGUGGCAAACGUCCAUUUUUGUUCAACCGAAGUAAACAGAAAUGAACGGAAUUGGCCUUCCACACAUUUUUGUGAGUAUGCUGGGGACGUUCAUCACCCCCAAGGUGGCCUUAUAGAAGGAAGAUUGGCCUGGGGAUCCUAACGCUGGCUUCUGGCACCAGCUGGGCUCCUAACUCCCUGUGAAACUCAGAGCCGACCUCCUAACUUCUCAGGAAGUCAGUUUCCCUAUUUCUAAAAUUAGUUGGCUUCCAGCUUUCCUUCCCUGUUUAAAAUUCUUUGAUGUGUUUUCGAACGCUAGAUAAAUUCUCUGUUGAUAGAUCCGUAGAAGAAUUUGUAAGGAUCUCUUAUGUUUGUAUAGCGCUUUAUUGUUUUAUUUGUUGUCCGGAAGCUUCUGAGCUUGGCAGGGCGGAUUGGGUUACCCUAGCACAUGGAUGAGGAAACUGAGGUCCAGAUAAAUUGAGUUCCUGGCUUGGCCAUGGCUUUUUGGUGGGUGAAUGGAGGUGGUGAGGACAAAGCCCAGAUCUCCUGGUAUCUAGUCCAGAGUUCGUCUCCAAUCUUGACACGUGCAAUUGUUGAUGGAGCAAGAAACCAUAUCCAACCCCAGCUCUCUCCAUCAGAGGCAAAAUCCCACCCAACGUGUCCUUCUGCGUGAUGGCCAUCGGCCACUUCAGGUGGCUCUUCUUGGGUACUCAUUUGGAGUUCAGUUUAUGAUAAAAUGCGCUACAUGUUACAGAUGCAGAUUUCAAGGUGAAUCUUACAGUCAGGCAUGCAAAGUCAGCACAGGUUACGUAGCAGUUUAGGUUGGAAACAAGCUUGCCGGAUUAACUGGCUGCUCAUUUACCUUCGCUUCUGCAUCUUUAAAACAGCUGGCGCAAUAUCUAAUAUUUACGAUACUCGGUACAUUAAUUCUCGUGCUCUCUCCAUGUUAUCUUGAUCAUUUGUAAUGGAAUUUGGGCGUUCGUUACAAUUAUGUAGGGACACUGAGUGAUAGAAUGGUUGUAAUGUAUUGCUAUGGGAAACAAAUGAAACAAAGUGGUGUGUUUUGUCUGUACUCAUUUUUGUAUAGAAAUAUGAAAUCAGGUAUGUAACGAAGAGAGGAUUCUCAUGUGGGUUAAUAGUGGUUUUCGUAUAGGUGGUGGGACCACCGGUGUGUUUUACUUUUUUUUUUUGGCUUUUCUGCUUUUCCAUAGGUGUGUAAAUUGACCAUAUCUUAAUGUGGUAAUCAGUUUAAAAGUUUCUUCCUUUGAAGGUGUACGGGUGAUGAUUUUAUCUGAUUGGGAGAAAAAAUUGGACAACCAGUUUACUUCCAGGUGGUUGUUGAAGAAGACUGAUUCCCAAAUAUUUUCAACACAGACACAAAUUGUGCCAUCGGCAGUAAUUGCUAAUUGACCCUCUUUCUGUUCAAUUAAGACAGCCACUCUCAGCUGCUGUGGGUCCGCGGGAUUGAGGAUGCGGCAGCCAAGUGCAGUUGGGGCCCGGGCUUCACAUCUGCUGCCUGCCUUUGCCAAACAGCUGUGUUCUGAGCCAGCAGCGUGAUGAUGCUCACCUGCGGGAAAUGUGGGCCGUGGAGUUGGUCUGCAGGCCGUGGGGGAUCAAGAGCGGACGGUUCCACUCCGACAGGUGGGCCAGCCGAUCGGGAAGGGGCUUGCGCUGUGCAAAAAGAAUGUCUUGCUCUUAGUAAUGCUUGAGGGUGACCUGGCUGUUGGAGAAGACCCUGGGCAGGACACCAGUGCAGCUUGGCUGAGAGCCCGCAGUCCCUGGGCCCGGCGCUUACGACAGUGAGGAUCCUGACGGGAGUCUCCCCGCAAGCUCCCGAGUGGGGCCGGGGAGAGACGGAAUGACAGAGGGGAAAAACGGCGGACACAUAGAGGCGUCAGCCGAACACACAAGUCUCUGCUCGAAGGUGGAUUUUUGGCACAUUUCUCUCAGUCUCAUCAGGAGCAGAGAGGAGGACUUUCUUUGCUCUCAGUAAGCAAUAGCUCCCAAACUGAAAAAAUGAAGUAACUUUAUUUCAUACACGAUUGUACAUUUUUAUUUUGGUUUUUGUGUUUAAGCGUGUUUAAUUUUACGGUUGAGUUUUGUGGCAAGUGAUACUGCUUUUCCAUUUUGGAAAGUAACGGUGUUCCCUUAAAAGCAUCUUGAUUUAAGUAAGAAAGGGGUCACUUAUAAUGUUAUUAAUGAUACAGUUAGAGUGUGGAAUUGGCAAAAGUAUUGGAAGUGUGAUGCAAACAGUUGAAAUGUGGGCAGUACCGUUAUUCACCAGCCUGGGGUUGGAAGGCCUGGGGUUCUGCUGUCUCACCUACUGAGUGAUUGUAAGUCAGCGGCUUCCAAACCUGUGUACUGGAAUCACCUGGCAAGGGGGCGGGGCUUCCAAACUGCUGCUGCCCAUCUCCCACCCCCAGAGAUUCCAGUUUAAUAGGUCUGGGGUCUGUCCUGGGCUUUGGAUGUUGUCAGUGAUCCCCAGUGGUCCUAACGUCAGGCUCCUUAGGAGCUACUGCCACAGAACGUUCUUUGAUGUCACAGAGACUGAGUCUCCUUGUCUACAGUAUGGGUGAGUUUAGCCCCUAUGAUACAGGAUCUGCCCUGGCCUCUGUGUUCUUAAAAAUAUAAGCGAAUGCCUUCAAGUGAGUGGCUCACCAUUUUAUCCCUAAAAGGGAUUGCUGAAUGGGAUGAGUCAUCUGGGUUCUAGAUGGAGAAGAAAAUGCCAAUGCAGAUCGAGUCUGGGGCUGUUGGUGCGAAGGGAAGAAGGUGGAACAGAAGAUGGAGAGGAAGGGGGUGCCUUGCAGAAACUCUUCCUCUCAGCCAGCCUCGCUGAUCGUUCAUAUUUUCAGAUAGAAAUGGGGUGGCAUCAGGCAGAGCUCAGAUCUGGACCUAGGAGACAUGGGCUGCUAUGGGCUAGAGACAUGGUCUCAGACAAGCCCUUUUACCUCUUUGUGCCAGUUUCUCCAUUUGGAUAAUAAGGGGGUGGGCUAAUUGGUUUAUAAGGUUCCUUCCAUUGUGUGUGGUAAGAUCACCCAAGACUUCCUCCCUUUCACCGUCUUCCCCCACCAAGUCGUUUCUUGGCUUUUUGCCAACGGAAUCCCCAACUCCAAGGGCCAGUAGAUGGCGGUAGAGUCUUUUGAAUUGGGAUUUUAGAGCUGGCUCACCAGAUUUCAGCCUCCUCCCCUGGCAAUGCUGGGAGUGGGGCCCUGGCUGAGCUCAACAGCUGCUGUCUGGAUGUAUUCAUUUGUGAGCCAUAAAGGGGCAAAAUUUAAAGGAAUAGUAUUUCUUUGGAGGUCCCGACCAACCAGAGCACGGCACAGUAGGACCUAGCUGGUCCUCAGAGCCCAGUUGCAUUUUUGCUCUCUCACAGGUCAAGCCCCACUCCCGCCGUUGGGCCUGAUUUUUGGUUCACGUUCCUACAGUGAUGCACGAAUACAGGAGUGUGGGAGAGCAUAAUAGGACUUUUGUAGUAAGAGAGAAACCUGGGCCAUUUUUAAGGCAAAACCAAUUUCUGGCAGGGACUUAAAUGUGCACAUUACUUGAUAGUUUUAAAGGGCAUUCAUAUAUGUGAACUCACUUCAUCUUCGAAGCAAGCCUUUGAAGUUGGUGGGACCAAUUAAUUUUCAGCUUCGUUUGUCAGGUGAGGGAGCUGAGUCUCAGGGUAACCAGGAAAGGGAUUUGUUCAAAGACCUCCUGCUCUAAGGAUGUGAUCAGAAGUUGAAUGCGAGUCAUUUGAUCCCUUAGUCCAGUUCUCUUUCUGCUGAUGGAGGCACAUGGGCUAACGUGUCUCACACUGGGAUUCCUGUAGGAACUUGCGGGGAUAUACAUUUGAGAAGUCUUUAUCAUUCACUUGCUCUGUGUCAGGUACCGAGCAAUACAUACAAAAAAAAAAAAAAAAAUUGCCAGUUUCAUUCCUCAUAACAACCCUGCGAAGUAGGGAUUGCUUGAACCCAAUUUAGAGGUGAAAAAACUGAAACCCAGAAGCCAUGACUCCAAAUCACAGGGUAAGUCAUGAGGCUGGGAUGCAAAGGCAGGCAGUGGUGUUCUUGCUGUCGAGAGGGAGGGAGCGAAACCAUAAGAGACUCUUAAAAACUGAGAACAAACUGAGGGUUGAUGGGGGGGGUGGGUGAUGGGUAUUGAGGAGGGCACCUGUUGGGAUGAGCACUGGACAUUGUAUGAAAAACAAUUUGACAAUACAUUUCAUAUUUUAAAAAAAUAAUAAAAAAUAAAAACACCUUCGUUGAGAUGUAAUUCACAUACUCUGCAAUUUGCCUACUGAAGGUAUAUAAGUUUAGUAGUUUUUAGUAUAUUUAGCAGAGAUGAGAAAACAUCACCACAGUCCAUUUUAGAACAUUUUUUUUGUCACCCUAACAGGAAACAGUGUUUCCGUCACUAGCUGGGCCAUGCCGUUCUUAACUGCUAUGCUGUAUUCCAUGUCCAUGGAUAGGCAUGCGUCAGUAUGUCCUGUCUUCCAAGAGUUGUGCUGGCACAUAGGUCGAUUAUUCCAUUACAAUGCAGUAGACACGACAGAGGUUGAGGCCCAAAGCGCGAAAGGCCUAUAGUGUGAUGCAGAUCCUCAAAGCAAGGACUUUCACCUAGAGAGAGAGAAAACGGUUUUCUCUACAGGGCCUGAGUUUUCUGUUUGUAACAGAGCUGUGGGUUAAUGCAUCAAAUACACCUGGAAAUUAAGAUGAUCUUCCGUAGAGGAGAUACUUAGACCUAGUAGGCCAGGGGUCAGUUACUGGGGUGUUAUCAGGUUGGCCCAAGACCCUUUUCAGUCCUCAUGGGAAUGUGCUGGGCGGGCAAGAGGGUGGGGCAGAGUCUGAGGUACUCUGAGGUGGGUUAGGAGCCCUGAGGCCUGGAUAUUUGGGCUGUCACCAGGAAACUCCGUUGGCUUCCGUGUUACUCCCCGGGUCAACUUGGUGGGAUAAACUUUUCCUAGAGGGAAGUUCCUCUAAGAUAUGCUUUACCUUGGGAGUUACAGAAACUUCCAAGGAGCAGCCAGAGGAGCAAGGGGCCCAUAGCUGGGUUUCGCUUUGUGUAACGCUGCCUCAGCUUUUUGAGGUUUACGGUGUUUAUGAAGAUCCGUAACAGCCGGCUCCAAGCCCGGCUCCAAGGAGAGCUGUUUCUGGGAGGCCCCCCCGAAGUUUGCAUUUCAGCUUCAAGAAUGGCGAGAACAGUACAGUUGAAGGUCUCAUUUUCAUAACCUCACAGUAAUAAUGACAGCUGCCAUUAAUGGAACGCCUUCCAAGUGCCAGAUGGUAUGUUAGGGAUUUUUUGCUUGUUUCACUAAAAUCUGAUAAACCUGCCAGGGCCCUGUUCGUACACAUGCACUGUAGUGGAAGAUCAGAAGAGGGGAAGUAAUUUGCCCAAGACACAUCUAGCUAGAGGGCAGCAGGGCUGGAAUUCUAACCCUGAGUGUCCAGCUCGUCCCGGGUUGCCUGGGACCUUCCUGCUUUUGAGACCAGAAGUCCCAUGUCCCAGCAAGUGGCCUCAGUCCUGGGCAGGCUGGGACAGCUGGCGCGCCUAAUAUCCAGGACUGUUGGUUUCCCUCUGCUGGGCCUGCCACAUAGCGCUGAGGUUUUGUUGGCUCCUUUCUUGACAGCAGUACGUGGUUUGGGCUCCCCCUCGAAACCCACUUAGGGACGGGCCAUGCUCCUCCCUGUCUGUCCCCGAGUGCCUGCUCCCUUGCACUACUCGGAGCCUUGUCUCCUUCCAGCUGUUUCCUGGCUCCCUCACUCGCCUACUUGCUCUUGUUUUGAGGCAGGUCCUUUACCGUUUAUCUGUUUGUAGCUUCCCCCCAGCACCCAACCCACUGCUGGCUACACACCAUCUGAAGACUGGGGCUUGGGUUCCUGCUGAGCACCCCACACCCCCAGCUGUGCCCCCUGGAGAAACCACUUCACCUCCCUGGAGCCUUUGCUUCCUCAUCCAAGGCAGGAUGCCAACUGUAUUCCCCUCCCAACACUGCCCCGGGGCUUAACUUAAAUGCAAGAUAGGACCAUUGAUUUUCAACAUGAGAGGCAUGGCACAUGUUGGCUGUCAUUACCGUUGGUGACUUCCUGCUUUCCCUGCCUACCUCGGGAGGGAUAAAUGAGUCCCGGGUCAGUGUGGACCUGACUUAGCACGGGAACUUUUGGUGCUUGCUGGCCGGGCUGCUCGUGGCUUCUGCGUCCUGGGUUUCUUCUCUGCAUUUUGUGGAUUGCAAUGCAGGGUGUUGUCAGUGUCGAAGAAAUCAGUUCGUGGAGCGCUUAGUCUUGUGUCUGGACUGGCUUCAAUCUGGAAAAGGAGGCUGGAACCAGGUGUCUUCAAGUCAGCCAUCAGACCCGGCACUUGGAACACUGGCUCCCAGUGUUGUCAAUAAAUAUUGUGGCCUGAACAAGUGACUGAAUGGAUGAAUGUUUGGGGAACUGCAGUAUCUGCUGAGUAAGGGGUAGAGAGAACACAGGACGGGAGGCAAAAUUGCUUCAUAAGGUUAAAAACACUCAAUGCGAACAAAGAGGAUUUCUCACAAACUAUCCUGAAUCUUCCCUAGAGCAAGGCAGCUUCAGAACAAAGGCAGUAAGAGAACAGUGUGAUAAUCGAGGAGGUCCCCUGUUCUUCUCACCUCUGCUGUGAUAGUUCUCCCACGCUACCAUCUACUUGCUUUGGCCUUUCCCACCAGGGUCCCCUCCUGACCAUGCAUUCACCUCUUGUCAACAGAGCACAGAAACGAGCCAUUCUUGUUGUGUCUAUUUUAGAAGCAUUUUUAGAGCUUAUUUUUGCCUCAUCUCCAUGCCAAUCCAGAACUUGCGGCCAUUUUCAAUUAUUUCUGUUACUUCAUUUUAUCUCGCUUGUUAACUUCUUCUUGGUGUCCUUGGCUGGCUUCUUUUCCCCACCCAGACGUCUUACGUUUGUGAGGCCCCAGGCUCCGUAUUUGGGACCUCUUUUCCCUAUCUACACUCCUUCCUUUGGUGACUUCAUUCAGUCUCUUGGCUUCAAUUAUUAUUUAUAUCCUCUGACUCUCAAAUUUCUAUCUCUAGUCUAAAUCUCUGUUGAACUCCUAUAAUCAACUGCCUCCCGGAUAUUCUCACUUGUAUUUUUGGUAGAAAAUACUGAACUCAGCAUGUCCCAAACUGUUCUGAUUUGCACCUCAGCCAGCACCCCCAACCUGCCCCUCCUGUGCCCCUUCCUCUUCCAGCUGCAGCCUCUGGAUUGUUCAGGCCACAAACCUUGGAGACAUCCUUGACUCCACUUACACUCUCAUCCCUACUUCAAAUCUGCCAGAAAGUUUUCAGUUCAACUUAAAAAUACCAUAUUUCCUGGAUACCAAGGUACAGAUCAUGUCAGCUUUUCGUAUCUCCACGUUAGGAAUGUGUCCCGCAAACUGGCAUCUUAAGCUUAACAAGAUGCGGUAUAUCGAGGAUUUGGUCGUUGUUCAGUUCAGCUCUCCACUGUUAACACUCAGGUCAAGGUCGCCAUCAUGUCUCACCUGGAUGACUGUCAAAGCUUCCGGUGUGGUUGGUGUCUCUUCCUCUCCUUUUACGAUCCAUUGUGUAUUCUCAAAUAGAUAGCCAGGAUGACUCAUUUCCAGCAUAAAUUAGAUCAAAACCUUCCAGUGACUUCCUGUCUCAGAUGAAGAAAAAGCUGGUGGUCCCAUAAUGUCCUAAAGACCCUAUGUGACUUGGGCCCUGUUUCCUUUCUGAUCUCAUCCCUACUCUCUUUACCCCUCACGCAAGCAGCCAUAGCCCCACUAGCCUUCAUUGCGGGUCUUCAAGACUUUCAGACAUGCUUCCACCUUUGGGUUUUUACAGUGGGUGUUUCUCCUCCUCAGCACACUCCUCCCUCAGGUAUCCAUUUGGCUAACCCCCUUAUUUCCUUCAAGUUUUGUUCAAACAUCAGCUUAUCGAUGAGGUUUCCUCUGACUGCUCUAAUGAAAAUUGCAACGGACACCUUACCCCAGUACUCGACUCCCAUCCUCUGCUCUGUCCUCCUCUCCCCCAUAGCACUUAGCACCUCUCGUGUACUUUACAGUUUACUCAUAAAUACCUGUCUUCAGUUACAGGAAUGUAAACUUCACCAGGGCAAGCACUAUUUUGUCUGUUUUACAUACUGACAUACCCUGAGCACCUAGAACAGGUACUCACAAAUAUUUGUUCAAUGAGCGAAUAGCUUUCAAAUUCAAGAAAAGCAGCCGUGGUCAGAGAAUCCAAAGUCGAGCAUACAGACUUGUCAGAGACCCUGGUGUGAUUUCAGUGACGGCAAUGAAUGUUUUCCCUCCCUCUCUUUCAAAAUAAGACUCCCAAAGCCGAAGCCAUUAUUGGAAGCAGUGGUGGGGAAAGGGGUGGGGAAGAUGGCCCAUGAGAAACAGCCAAGUCAGCGACUUUAGUGAAGCUUAGGUAAGUCAGAAGCUGAGCGGCCGUGUGUGACUUUCAUUAAUCAUCCCCUUCACACCACAUCAACACAAGUGAUGACUUUUGUCUGCACCUCCUGCCUCCAGUGCCAUGAUAUAUGGCCUGAGAAGAGUCCUGGGCUCUAAUUGUUGAAGACCCCCAAACGAUGAAUGCUCAUAGCCUGGCCUGUGAAGGAAGAGCGAAAUCAUGAUGAAAGGUGGACGCACCAUGCAAAUUGUGUUGGCUUUGGCCUCCCCAGCCUGGCCUGGCUGUUCUCCCUGUACAGGGGCCUGGCAACUGGAUCCGGCAGAAGAAAUGGCACUUAUGCACAGCUUUGUGCCUCCUUGGCUGCGUGGCUCCCUAAGAAGUCAACGGGAGAGGAUGAGGACAAAGUUACAAGAUCAGGCAAAACAGAUUUGGAACCCCUCCUGGGUGCAGUUCUUUUUGCUCUUUCCCCUCCUUUCCACCCCAACAGAGGGCUCCAGGUGAGAGUGCAUUAUUGGCCAGAGAUGAGGGAUCAAGGGUCUCGUUUUGCCAUUUCCACACCCUUGGGCAAAUUAUUGAUUCUUCUUAGUUCUCCCAUGGGUUUAGAAAGUGAUCAUCUCUUGUAGCUGUAUAGAAUUUUAGAUGUCACAAAUGGCUUUAACACUUAACUAAUACAAGCCUCUCAAUUCUGUUAGGUCAGGGGAGAUACAAUUAUCUCUGUUCUACACACAAGAAAACCCCCACGAUUCAGAGAACUCAAGCCAUUUGUCCAAGGUUACAAAGCUAGUAAAUGGAGAUGAAGUAAAAAUUCAGCACUUUGUUUCUUAGCUCUGUAAAAUUUCAAGAGUCUCUUAGGCAUUCAAAUCUAACUCAUUGACAUUGAAGUUCAAUAACAGUGAUAACCCUACGAAGGGAAGAUUUUCUUAAAAAAGGAAAAUGGAAGAAGAGCAUAAAGACAAUGCUUGACUGAAAGAGCUGAAUCCUGAGUUUUAUUUCUUCAUUCAUUUGUUUAUUCAUUCAUUCAUUUCCCAGGUGUUUUUGAGCACCUGCUUUGUGCUGUGAGCUCUUCUAGAUAUUUUAAGUCCCAUGGCACCUGAAUCUUGGAAUAUCUUUGUAUGGCAUGGAACAAGAUAUUUCAAAAAUUUUUUAUUGUUUAUUUAUUUAUUUUUGAAAGACAGAGAGAUGGAGCGUGAGUGGGGGAGGGGCAGAGAGAGAGGGAGGCACAGAAUCCGAAGCAGGCUCCAGGCUCUGAGCUGUCAGCACAGAGCCCAAUGCGGGGCUCUAACCCAUGGACUGUGAGAUCAUGACCUGAGCUGGAGUGGGAUGCUUAACCGGCUGAGCCACCCAGGCACCCCGGAACAAGAUAUUUCCAAUCCUGCAGAAGUUGCUCACCCGACGUGGGUACUCACUGUGGAUAGUGAGCACACUCUGUGGUUCCUAUUAAAAGCCAUGUCUUUGCUCAUGCCCUUUGUGGGCAGUGGCCUUCCCUCAACAGGCCGCCCCUCUACCUCUGCUGCCCUGUGAAGAUUCCACUCAAGCGUCACCAUGGAUGAAAGCUUCCUUUAUACCCCAGCACUUCCCACAGAAAUGACCCAUGUAAACUCUUUGAACUCUGCAGAAACUGUCACGUACUUGCCAUCCUUCCUCACGUUGGCUCCUGUGUCUGUCUUCCUCUACCAGGCUCUGAGCAUCUUGAUGGAAGAGAUCAUUUCUGUUCAGAAACUAGAAGCGAUCCAGAGACAAGCAUCAUUAACAUUUUGAAAUUUUUCAUUGUAUUAUUGUCUCACAUAUACUUCCGUGCAUUGUUUUUCUAAAUCUGAAAUCACGUGGCUUUAUUUCCUCUUUUCGAACAAAGGUGGAUUUCCCCCCUAAUUUUUAAUGUUUCUUAAACUGGGACACAUUUUACAACCAAUGUUACGUUAUUAUUAAUAUAGUGUUUAUCAACACCCAAAUUUGAUGUUAAUUUGUCUGAUGAGUCUUUAAAAUUGCUACCAUCUAGGAUUUAAGGACUACUGUGUGUGUGUGCAUGUACUAUAUUUUCCCAAAUAUGUAUGUGUAUGUAUUACUUUCUCAAAUAUACAUAUAUGUAUGUAUAAUUUAUAUAUUCUGUAAUGUAUAAUAGACCACAUAAUAUUAUGUCAUGAGCAUUUUCUCAUGACAGUGAAUAUUCCUUGAUAACAUAAAUUUUAAUGGCUGCCUAGAUGCCUACUCUACAAAUGAA